AGUGAACGCUGGCGGUAGGCCUAACACAUGCCAGUCGAACGGCAGCACAGUAAGAGUUUGCUCUUACGGGUGGCGAGUGGCGGACGGGUGAGGAAUACAUCGGAAUCUACUUUUUCGUGGGGGAUAACGUAGGGAAACUUACGCUAAUACCGCAUACGACCUACGGGUGAAAUCAGGGGAUCUUCGGACCUUGCGCGAUUGAAUGAGCCGAUGUCGGAUUAGCUAGUUGGCGGGGUAAAGGCCCACCAAGGCGACGAUCCGUAGCUGGUCUGAGAGGAUGAUCAGCCACACUGGAACUGAGACACGGUCCAGACUCCUACGGGAGGCAGCAGUGGGGAAUAUUGGACAAUGGGCGCAAGCCUGAUCCAGCCAUACCGCGUGAGUGAAGAAGGCCUUCGGGUUGUAAAGCCCUUUUGUUGGGAAAGAAAAGCAGCAGGUUAAUACCCGGCUGUUCUGACGGUACCCAAAGAAUAAGCACCGGCUAACUUCGUG
rnacentral:rRNA from 1 species